CUAGGGCUGCACCUGUGGCAUAUGGAGGUUCUCAGACUAGGGGUCAAAUCAGAGCUGUAGCCACUGGCCUAUGCCACAGCCACAGCAACACCAGCUCUGAACUGCAUCUGCGACCUACACCAUAGCUCACAGCAACACCAUAUCCUUAACCCACUGAGCGAGGCCAGGAAUCAAACCUGCAGCCUCAUGGUUCCUAGUCAGAUUUGUUAACCAUUGAGCCGUGACGGGAACUCUACACACCCUUUAUCUUGAGAAAUUUCCGGUUUUCUUAUUUCUUGGGCCUGAAACCUCUCAGCUAUGAGAUCAUAAAAAAAUCACCCCAUUUCUCUAGACCUAGUUCUUACUGGUAAAAUAAAGUGAUGAUUUUAAAUUAUUAAAUAUUAAGGUGAUAAAAAGUUGGCACAUAGCCAACUUUUUAAAAUUUUUUCCAGUUAUGAAAUGUCAGUAUAAGAUGCUUGAAUAGUUCCCAUUGUGGCUCAGUGGGUUAAGAACCUGACACUGUCUCUCUGAGGAUGGAGUUUGAUCCCUGGCCUUUGCUCAGUGGGCUAAGAACCUUGCAUUGCUGCAAGCUAUGGCAUAGGUCACAGAUUCAGCUCAUUCUGUGUUGCCAUGACUGCUUUGUAGACCUGAGCUGCAGCUCCAAUUUGAACCCUAGCCCAGGAACUUCCAUAUGCUGCAGGUGUGAUCUUAAAAAAAAGAAAAAAAGACACUUGGAGUAAAGCGGAAAAUGUAUGGUUUCUAUUAGUGCAUUUGACAUAUAAUUUAAAAUAAUUUAACUGAACAGUGGAAGACAUGUGCUAUAUUGAAAACCUUAUUGGCUCAUUAUGACUCAAGAAUCUUAGAAGGAAUGCAUGAUGUCCUUUGGCCCACACAGCAAAAAAUUUUUUGAGGGGAGAGGGGCUAGACCUGCGGCAUAUGGGAAUUCCCAGGCUAGGGGUCAAACUGGAGCUGUCGCUGCUUGCCUACUCCACAGUCACAGAAACACUAGAUCUGAGUUGUGUCUGCAACCUAUACCACAGCUCAUGGCAAUGCUGGAUCCUUAACCCACUGAGUGGGGCCAGGGAUCGAACCCAUAUCCUCAUGGAUGCUAGUUAGGUCUAUUUCUGCUGAGCCACAACAGGAGCUCCCUGCACAGAAAAUUUAUGGCUGGGAGGCUUCUGGAUAGUGGAGAACUCAGAAAGAGAAGCAUAGAAUAAAAAUUGAUAGAAAAAUAUCCUAACUAGAUAUUUUGUCUUCUUCUUUUGGGGAGAAUUCUGGAGAUUAUCCCAAUUUUGGCUAUGGGAGGUAGAGAGAAGGCAGGUAUUGUGAUGAUUCUGGAGUAGCUUCAGAACUCCACUUCUUUAGCAUAAACCUCUGGCAAGAACAUCAAAUACUGACUUUCCAUCAUAAAGACCUUUCUAGGCUAGCAUUUUCCACACACUGUCUUAUUGAAUCAGGAUUUAGGGAUUUGACUUUGGCCUUCAUACAAAAGUGAUUCAAAGAGUUGCAUCAUCAGAUCAAUUAAGUAUUAGUUGCAUACCUAAUGUGAUGUUGAAAAACUUCUCUUUGGUUACUAAGAACCUGAGCGCUUAAUGAAAUAACAGUUACAACUAUUUGAUUUUUAAAUGGUCAUGGAUAUUAAUGCUAUAUGUGCCAUUAUUUAAAUAGCAUAGCAAAGACACUAAAUUUUCCCAAACCAUCACCUGCUAUCUUCCUUAUGGUUUUAUAUGGCGUGUGUGUGUGUGUUUGUGUGUGUUGCUUGAAAACAUAAUACUAUGAAUGUAGUCUUUGUUCACAACAGAUUUCUGUUCAGAAAUUGAAACCUCAAGAGGAAGAAACAUUUUUUAUACUGAAACCCAGGAAAAUUACCAUUUUGUCAUUCAAGCUCUUGGAUUUCCUCCCUAAUUCUUUCCCAACACAUCCAGAUUAUGGCUUCCGGUGGAGCUGCCUAAUCACACAGUGGGAAAGAUACAUUAAUGGAAGUCAGAAGUAGGGCAUUGAAUAGACUAAUGGAGGCUUUUUAAGAAUUCCAAGUACUCUUCAUAUUAGUACCUUUGUCAUAAAGGUGACAAUAUUAACAAUAAUAAUCCUCUCUAACAAAAGACUAAUAUCAGGUCUGACUUAGUAAGAGGCACUGCUCCACUCUCCUGUGUCCAUGGAUGCCCUGAUUUCCAUUUCUAGUCCCCAGUACAUAGUGUUCAAUUCAAUAACCUAAAUUUUUACUGGUAAAACAGAACAUCAAAAUGAAUUCAGUAAUUAGCUUCACCAUUAGGGGGCUCAUUUAAUUUCAAUGCUGAUGCUAUCCACAUUUCCGUUUUCAAUUAAUCCAAAUAUAGAAAUGUUAUAGUAAUCAGACAGUAUGUUCUUUGAAGAGCUGAUCUUCUGACAUUGGCAUGGCGUCAGUAAACUUUCAUUAGCGAUAUGAUCAUAUAACACAAUUCUGAACAAACAGAACUUUUUCUCAUCUGUUUUCUUGAAUGCACUUAUGUUGCAAUUUUAAAACAUUUGAGACAAAUGCAACUUCUCCUAGUGUGAUUUUCUGAGAAAAAUAUCAACCAGUUGUAAACAAGAUAAGUGUUUUCAUAAGAUUCAGAAUGAAGUAUAUGAAUUGAGAUCAAAUCCUAGAAAUUUAAAGCAGUUAUGGAAAAUUUCCUUGACAAAUAAUGUGUGUGUGUGUGUGUGUGUGUGUGUAUACACACACACCUGGUGGGAUAGGGUUGCAGAUUCCAUUUUAGUAGCAGAUGUGGCAUAUGUGAAAUUAUGCAAUGUUAUAAUCAUUCCUUUAGUUCUUUCUGGGAUAUGUAUCUGUAUCCUAAACUUAUCUCACAGUCCAGUAACUAUGGAAGCAGUAAAGAGAAACACUGAGAUUUUAAUCCGUAUCUAAUUAUUCUUCAGUAGAAAAAUUUCUUAAAUGGCCUGCUCCCUCUCUAGAAACAAGGAGGAUUAUUUUUAAAUGUGGUUAACUCUAAAUGUGUAUAAGUCACAUUUUCAAAUUAUGCUGUCAGGGUUUCCCUAGAGAAAAGUCAAGAGAGAUUUAUCAUUGGGCAAAUAUAUAAAUAUAUAAUCAUAUGGCUUUUACGUAUGUUCAUUCUUAUGUAAGAAGCAAAAUAAAUAAAUAAAUAUUUAGUGAUUACUAGGAGAGUCAUUCUUACCAACUGGAAGCCAACUGAAAGACUUCAUUUGGAAAAAAAUGUCUGAUCAUUUCACAGAAACAGUAGUCACGGGACAACCCAAAGAAAAGCAUAAGAAAUAUUUUAUCAACAGGACCAAAAACAGAGAAAAUGAAAAGACGCAAUCAGAGAGAUCCAACACCUACUGUCAUCAAAAUGAGAACUGUUGAGUACAAUGAGAUAAAUUGGAUCUUCCUGGAGUAGUUGGAAUUAUGAUGAGGAUAGCUUUCUAAGAAUAAUUUUUAAGUAGCUGCAAUGCAGUUUUCAAGUAAGAAUUAAACAUUAACAGUUUCUAAAACCCUCCAAAAAACUGGUCAGGCAAUAGGGUUGUUUGACCUUUGCUUCCUAGUGCCAAAUCAAAGCAGGCUGUUUCAUAAGAACAGAGCACCACCUUGUGUUGGUAAGUUAUUACACCUUCCUAGGACACCUUAGGAGGCCCUUGCCAUGGUAGUAAAUGAUAGCUUGUCAGUAGUGCUGAGUAAAACAGGCAAGUGUAACAGCUUCUCAGUCAUUUUAAACACUUAGCCUUAUGUAUUAGCUGUGCUUAUGUUCUAAGAAAGAUAAGGAAAGAAAACAAUAUAAAAAGAUGGCUAGUCUGAACAAACACAAAAUAUUUUUUGUAACUUUUGGUAUAAAUGCUUUGUCUCAGGAAAUAAUUUUGUAAGCUGAAUCUAUAGCUCUGAUCCUAAAUUGAGUUUGUCUUUCACAAAUUACACUCUUUUAUUUUUUUAACUUGAACUAGGUUGAAUAUCAACAAAGCAAUUUUGAGUUUGAAAUAAUUUAGAAGUGCAUUAUUUCCCAAAAAUUCAACAAAUAGUUUAUUUAGAAACCACCGAAUCAACUAUCUUAAGUUGAAAAUAAAUUCACCUUAAAUGCUUCUGGCAAAACCAUAAGAGUGUUUAUGAGUAAGAAGAAAUUUAGUCAAACAAAAUUGCACACCUUCAUUUUCAUAGUAUCAUUGGGCAAAAAUUUUAUACUUUAUAUAAAAUGAGAAAUGUAACAUUCUGCAACUAAAAAAAAAUGUAAUCUUUCUCAGUCUUUAAAAUUAAGCUCAAAUCUUAACAUAAAUUCUUCUGUGGUUACUCCAUCCUCAGUAUUCUUAGGGCACUUAGUUUUGUAAAAUUAAAGCUGUUUUGUAUUAAAAUGGUUUUUGUUCAUGUCUCAUCUCCUCCUGUCUUCAGUUCUUUGGCUACGAGGACCUGGUCUUACCUCUUUUGACAUCUCUGGAUGGUCUAGAAGAGCACUUAUGCUCCAGAACUUUCUGCAGUGGUAGAAAUGUUUUCUCACUGUCCAGUAUGGUAACCAGUAACCACACAUGGCUCUCAGGAAAUUGAAAUAUGGCUUAUAUGACUAGGAAACUAAAUUUAAAUUGUAUUGAAUUUUAUUUAAUGUAAACUUAAAUUUAAAGAAUCAUAUGUGACUAGUGCCUGCUGUCUGGAUGGAUUGGUCUAUAAAAAAUGCCUUAACAGAAAAAAUCUCCAUUGAAUGAAUCAAUGUUAAAGUAUUUGAACAUGAUGUAUUAAAUGAUUUAUACUUUUUAGUACAGGGAAAUUUUAAUCUUCUCUUAUAUGUCCCUUCUCAAGUAACGCUUGAGAACUCAAUAACUCCUCCAUGUGAUAACUUUUUAUAAUCUAAAUAAUUAAGAUAGUUUAGUUUACUGCCUAUAUUUACCUUCUGUCCUUCAUUCUGAUAUAAUUUAAAGAAUUAUUUUGUUUUCUUCAUCCUGGAUGAAUUCUGAAAGUUGUUUAUUUAUUUGUUUAUUUGUUUCAUUAGAAUAGCAUAGAGUUUUUGCACAUCUAUUUAAGUAGAUUUGAAAUUUAUAUGAGUAGGCUUGAAAUUCAGUAUUAGCUUGUCCAAACGUCCAAAGUAAAGUUAUAGUAGAACCUCUUUUCUCAUUAAUUCUUUCUCUCUUUGCAUCCUGACCAAGUACUUAGGAUAAUAUG
rnacentral:lncRNA from 1 species